rnacentral:misc_RNA from 1 species
UAAUAAUAAUAAUAAUAAUAGUUGACCAAUCAUUAACAAGUAGAUAUAGUACAAUUUUAUGUGAAUAUUGCUGGGUAAAGAUUUGGUCUGAUCUUUUGUUCAAACCACAACUACAAGCAGCUUAUUUUGGUCUAGGAUCUAUUCAGUCCAACUGAAGUAAAGGCUCAAAAAGUGGAUUUCCACCAAUUAUGUUCUACAUAGAUGACAAAUUAAAAUAGUUUGUCUAGGCUAACAAUGCACUCAAUAAAAGAGGAUUGAGUGGUUAAAUUUCUUGCAUGCUUAUGCUGUUAACAUCAGGUCAUGUAAUAAAGGAACAUCAGAACCUUACUAAUAUUCCAAGUUGUAAUUCCAAUAACGGAUAUAGUAGUACUUGAAUGGCAUGAGUUAGUUAGUUCCGUAAAAAACAUACCACCAUGACAAAGACAUUAUUGA